rnacentral:rRNA from 1 species
ACUCCUACGGGAGGCAGCAGUAGGGAAUCUUCCACAAUGGGCGCAAGCCUGAUGGAGCAACACCGCGUGAGUGAAGAAGGGUUUCGGCUCGUAAAGCUCUGUUGUUAAAGAAGAACACGUAUGAGAGUAACUGUUCAUACGUUGACGGUAUUUAACCAGAAAGUCACGGCUAACUACGUGCCAGCAGCCGCGGUAAUACGUAGGUGGCAAGCGUUAUCCGGAUUUAUUGGGCGUAAAGAGAGUGCAGGCGGUUUUCUAAGUCUGAUGUGAAAGCCUUCGGCUUAACCGGAGAAGUGCAUCGGAAACUGGAUAACUUGAGUGCAGAAGAGGGUAGUGGAACUCCAUGUGUAGCGGUGGAAUGCGUAGAUAUAUGGAAGAACACCAGUGGCGAAGGCGGCUACCUGGUCUGCAACUGACGCUGAGACUCGAAAGCAUGGGUAGCGAACAGGAUUAGAUACCCUGGUAGGC